AAAGGAAAGGCUGAUGCCUUGGAAAAAUCUGGAAGGAAUUCACAGAGGAAGUAAGCUUUGAGCUGGAUUGAAAUACAUGGCAUUGCUUGGGAGAAAAUGAGAAAACCAAGGAAAUAUUCGCUGUAAAGUAUUGAGACGUGAAAGAGUGGCAAGCUGGGCAAGCUGGCACAUGGAAUGGGUGGAUCAUUAGUAGAAAAUGCCAUUAAUGUAACAGGCUCAGCUGUUGCAGAGAAGUAAUGAUUCACACGAAAAUUUAAAAUGGAAAGAUUGUCCUCUCCAAUCGGCCCCACUUCAUAAUUCCCAACUCAACAAAGAUUGCAUUUUAGAAACAUGCAACUGUGCAGAUGUUUAAAAUGAAGGCCAUAAGCUCUAAAAUCAUUGCCAUUUUAUUUAAAUAUCAAACAGCUCAAAAUUUGUCUGUGACAAAAAUAAUUUAAAUGUUUUGGUAAAAAUAUAAAAUAUUAAGCAUUCGGUUUUCCACUUUUGGAAACUGAGAGAGAAGUUAUGGAAGCUGAAUAUUGGUCAUGAAAGAGACUGUCAUAUAAAAGAUAUGUUAUACCCAUCUCUAAGACUUUUAGAUAUUGUAGUAGAAUUAAUGAAAAUUAUUCCAGAGCAGAGAAUAUACAGUACAGUGUCAGUAAUUAUGCAUGCUGCUACUUCAGUAUACUACUUAUCCAUUCCCCUGUUGAAAAUACUUCAGUAUUUUACUUAUCCAUUCCCCUGUUGAAGAACAAAAUAAACAGGUUAUAUUUUUGUAAAGACAUAUUGGAUAUAGUAGAAGAAAAGAGACAGAUAGCAGAGAAGGAUAUUCAUGAACAUGGAUCAACAGGCAGAUCCAGUUCAUACAUGGGAAAACACCAUCAAGUUGUGGCCAGAUUACCAAAAAAUAAAAUAAAAUUGCCAAAAAAAGUACGACUCGUGAAGUUGUGAUUCUCAAAAUGUUUCAUUCUAUCUAUUUCUGUAGAGAAACAACAAAUUAAUUGGUUUUAAAAAAAGAAAUGGACUCUAUAGUUUAAGCAGUUUCAGGUUCACAGCAAACUUGAACAGAAAGUACAGAGGAUCCCCAUGUACACCCUUCACACCCAUAGUCAACCUGCCCAACCAUCAACAUCCCAU
rnacentral:lncRNA from 10 species